ensembl:lncRNA novel transcript
CUGUGAGGCCGUUGCAGGAAGCCCCCUUCACUGUGGGAGGAUCCACAGCUGCCGCAGCACAGUCCCACCUCCAGGAAUCUCAUAGGAUCCCUUGAGGAAAAGCCUAAAGCUGCCGCCAUUAGAAAUCCCCGAAAGAGCAUGGCAUUGUCAGGAUUCUGGGGGUGAAAUGGUUGUCACGAACCACCCAAGAGGAGAACUGGCCUCUGCUUGGUUUAUUCAUUCCCUCCGUUCGCUUUGAUUUUAAACUUCUUUUGGAGAGAUAUUUAUUGGGUUUCUUUUGUGAGAAAAGUUUGUUCCCGCUAAAAGAAGAGAAUAUUUUCAAUGCUACAAACUCCAAAGCAUAAGGACUUUGGGUGAACUUUCUGUUGAAGUACAGCAUUUAGACAGCAAAGCCCGCAAAUCUUAGCUUUUAGCCCAGUGGAGUUGGACAGUUUAUUAACACCUUCAAGCAACAACCACUCAGUCAAGACAGAAUGCUGGCUGCACAUUCGUUACCACAGAUUCAUCUUGCCUCGUUUUAUGAACUCCAUGCAAAUAAAAUCAGACAGGGAUCCUGCUCUGGAACAAGAGUCUCUCCUGCACCCACCCAGUCUGAGCACCAGCCAAGAUCUUUCCCUUCUUAUUCUCACCUUCCUACAGUUUGCAGAGAUGAACAUGGAUGAGAGGAGACUCAGGGACCUGAUGACCCCCGACGGCCGUGGGCUGCACAGUGCCAGGACUGGAUCCUGGAAGAGGAAAGGAUGCAGAUGGAAAAGCUGGGGAUACCAGGGUGAGCUCUGAGAUGUAAUCACCAGCAUUGGAUCCACGUCCACUCCCUGGUCCUGGUUGCUGUGCUGUGGCCGUGCAUAGAGUUAACACUGAGCAGCACUCAACAGAAACAACCUUUAGCUGCUGUACAUGUAUUUUCUGGCAAGACUCUGACUGUCCAUGAAGCCGGGGUCCACGGAGGCCACCUUGGCUGCUAUGAAGGAGUGGAUGCAGUGCAGGACAGCCCUCAGGUCCUGGAACUCGAGUUCCUGGAGGAGAAAAUCAGAUCAAGUGUUUAUUAUAAUUGUUGGAAGAACACGUUACAAAAAUAUUUAACAAAGUUUGGACCUUGUGAACUCCAAGAAAGUCCCUCCAAAAAAAUAAUAAUAGACAGGAAAUAUGUAUGGUUUAAAGUAAAAGGCAGAGUAACAUGAUCCAAAUCAUGAUCCAAAUUGGUUAUAAACAUGAAUAUACUGGGUAUUUUUUAUUACAACGCUGAGAAUGUAACUUACUUGUUUUCUUGCACCUAACGGGGGCUAAUGCUCACUUCCUUUAUUUUGCAUCUUCAGUGAUGGGUCUUGAUUAAGUCAGACCCCGUAAUCUGGGCCAGGACUCAGUCUUCCCCACCUGCCCAGCACCUGUGGUGAUUUUGUGAUGUGGAUCCCGUCGCAGCAGACCCCUGUGCUGUGUGAGUUGGCAGAACUAGCCAUUGUGUCUCAGGCCGCCGUGCCUUUUGUAUGGGUGCGUGUGGGCUUCAUGCCAAGGCCGCCCUUGGGAGGAACAGUGCCUGCUGUGUGGGUGCAUGUGGGCUUCAUGCCAAGGCCACGCUUGGGAGGAACAGCGCCUGCUGUGUGGGUGCGUGUGGGCUUCAUGCCAAGGCCACGCUUGGGAGGAACAGCGCCUGCUGUGUGGCGCAGAAUAGGCAGUGUGCACAGCACGGCGGGAAGCGAGGAGGGGCCUUGUUCACCCACCCUGUCCCCAUGGCUACGGGAGAGCAGGAAAGGGUGCCCCAGGGAGAGUUUCCUAGAGAGACGGUUAUACCCCUACCCCCUCCCAAUAAAAAAACUGAAACAAACUCCUGGAUCCUUACCUCCGCAUGUUACAGACACUAAAUGUCCUGUAAAAGCAAAAAUGACCCACAAAAGGUUCAUCUUCUCUCCACAAACUGCCCCACAUAAAGUCCCUGUGUCAAAUCAACAGAAAAGUCCACAGUGAACCCCAAAGCUGACACAGAAGUUAAAGAAACUGUUUUUAGAAGUUAUUCAGUUACUGGGGAAAAAUCAUCUUCCUGUUUUUGAUGGUAAAAUACGAAUCUUGCCGUCCUGCCACCCCCAUUCUAUUGGUAGAAAAGAAGGUCUAAGUGCAUUCUUCUAAUGUU